GCCGGGAUGGCGGAAUUGGUAGACGCGCCUGAUUUAGGAUCAGGUGGGCGAAGCCCGUGCAGGUUCGAGUCCUGUUCCCGGUA
rnacentral:tRNA from 1 species